AUGAACGCUAGCUACAGGCUUAACACAUGCAAGUCGAGGGGAAACGACAUCGAAAGCUUGCUUUUGAUGGGCGUCGACCGGCGCACGGGUGAGUAACGCGUAUCCAACCUGCCCACCACUUGGGGAUAACCUUGCGAAAGUAAGACUAAUACCCAAUGAUAUCUCUAGAAGACAUCUGAAGGAGAUUAAAGAUUUAUCGGUGAUGGAUGGGGAUGCGUCUGAUUAGCUUGUUGGCGGGGUAACGGCCCACCAAGGCAACGAUCAGUAGGGGUUCUGAGAGGAAGGUCCCCCACAUUGGAACUGAGACACGGUCCAAACUCCUACGGGAGGCAGCAGUGAGGAAUAUUGGUCAAUGGACGAGAGUCUGAACCAGCCAAGUAGCGUGCAGGAUGACGGCCCUAUGGGUUGUAAACUGCUUUUAUAAGGGAAUAAAGUGAGUCUCGUGAGAUUUUUUGCAUGUACCUUAUGAAUAAGGACCGGCUAAUUCCGUGCCAGCAGCCGCGGUAAUACGGAAGGUCCGGGCGUUAUCCGGAUUUAUUGGGUUUAAAGGGAGCGUAGGCCGGAGAUUAAGCGUGUUGUGAAAUGUAGAUGCUCAACAUCUGCACUGCAGCGCGAACUGGUUUCCUUGAGUACGCACAAAGUGGGCGGAAUUCGUGGUGUAGCGGUGAAAUGCUUAGAUAUCACGAAGAACUCCGAUUGCGAAGGCAGCUCACUGGAGCGCAACUGACGCUGAAGCUCGAAAGUGCGGGUAUCGAACAGGAUUAGAUACCCUGGUAGUCCGCACGGUAAACGAUGGAUGCCCGCUGUUGGUCUGAAUAGGUCAGCGGCCAAGCGAAAGCAUUAAGCAUCCCACCUGGGGAGUACGCCGGCAACGGUGAAACUCAAAGGAAUUGACGGA
rnacentral:rRNA from 1 species